rnacentral:rRNA from 1 species
ACGAACGCUGGCGGCGUGCCUAAUACAUGCAAGUAGAACGCUGAAGAGAGGAGCUUGCUCUUCUUGGAUGAGUUGCGAACGGGUGAGUAACGCGUAGGUAACCUGCCUUGUAGCGGGGGAUAACUAUUGGAAACGAUAGCUAAUACCGCAUAACAAUGGAUGACACAUGUCAUUUAUUUGAAAGGGGCAAUUGCUCCACUACAAGAUGGACCUGCGUUGUAUUAGCUAGUAGGUGAGGUAACGGCUCACCUAGGCGACGAUACAUAGCCGACCUGAGAGGGUGAUCGGCCACACUGGGACUGAGACACGGCCCAGACUCCUACGGGAGGCAGCAGUAGGGAAUCUUCGGCAAUGGGGGCAACCCUGACCGAGCAACGCCGCGUGAGUGAAGAAGGUUUUCGGAUCGUAAAGCUCUGUUGUAAGUCAAGAACGAGUGUGAGAGUGGAAAGUUCACACUGUGACGGUAGCUUACCAGAAAGGGACGGCUAACUACGUGCCAGCAGCCGCGGUAAUACGUAGGUCCCGAGCGUUGUCCGGAUUUAUUGGGCGUAAAGCGAGCGCAGGCGGUUUGAUAAGUCUGAAGUUAAAGGCUGUGGCUCAACCAUAGUUCGCUUUGGAAACUGUCAAACUUGAGUGCAGAAGGGGAGAGUGGAAUUCCAUGUGUAGCGGUGAAAUGCGUAGAUAUAUGGAGGAACACCGGUGGCGAAAGCGGCUCUCUGGUCUGUAACUGACGCUGAGGCUCGAAAGCGUGGGGAGCGAACAGGAUUAGAUACCCUGGUAGUCCACGCCGUAAACGAUGAGUGCUAGGUGUUGGAUCCUUUCCGGGAUUCAGUGCCGCAGCUAACACAUUAAGCACUCCGCCUGGGGAGUACGACCGCAAGGUUGAAACUCAAAGGAAUUGACGGGGGCCCGCACAAGCGGUGGAGCAUGUGGUUUAAUUCGAAGCAACGCGAAGAACCUUACCAGGUCUUGACAUCCCGAUGCUAUUUCUAGAGAUAGAAAGUUACUUCGGUACAUCGGUGACAGGUGGUGCAUGGUUGUCGUCAGCUCGUGUCGUGAGAUGUUGGGUUAAGUCCCGCAACGAGCGCAACCCCUAUUGUUAGUUGCCAUCAUUCAGUUGGGCACUCUAGCGAGACUGCCGGUAAUAAACCGGAGGAAGGUGGGGAUGACGUCAAAUCAUCAUGCCCCUUAUGACCUGGGCUACACACGUGCUACAAUGGUUGGUACAACGAGUUGCGAGUCGGUGACGGCAAGCUAAUCUCUUAAAGCCAAUCUCAGUUCGGAUUGUAGGCUGCAACUCGCCUACAUGAAGUCGGAAUCGCUAGUAAUCGCGGAUCAGCACGCCGCGGUGAAUACGUUCCCGGGCCUUGUACACACCGCCCGUCACACCACGAGAGUUUGUAACACCCGAAGUCGGUGAGGUAACCUUUUGGAGCCAGCCGCCUAAGGUGGGAUAGAUGAUUGGGGUG